GGUUAGAACGCCAACACAGAGACAGAGGAAGGGGACGGACAUCGUCGAAAAGACAUGCAUCCAGCGGAAUCAGGGAAGAGUAACUGGAAGACUAUAGCUGGGUUAACCUGUUUGGGUGACUUCUUCUGGACAAAGCGUAUUGUCAACAUUAGCAGGUUUUCUAUGUGCAGGACAAUAGCUGCCUUCGAGGAGUGGGCUUGAACAGGCAGUCAGGCCCUGCUCAUAGCAGGAUUCCUGCAGCCCCUGCUGGACCAACGCCCUCUCGCUCACCGUAUCCGUGCAAUGGGCCUGUGUGUGCGUGCUUUGUUUAGGGUGUUCAGUCGCAGGUUGUCAUCAUAAAGGAUUGCAGGGGAGUGGAGUGGAGUGGAGUGGAGUGGAGUGGGUGUAGCACAAGAACAAGCAGCUGCUCCGGGCCCUGCAGUCUCCACAGACCCUGAAACUAGCACUUUUUUUUUUUUGCAUUCUGCAUUCUGCACUCAGCCCAAUCAGCCUGCUUUUUCUUAUACUAACAGCUAUUUUGAAUACAUUUGUUUCUGUACUUUAUUUCUUAUUAACAUUUAUGUCUGUUUGUGUACUGUAUGUAUGCACCAAUCACCAAGGCACAUUCCACGUAUGAUUCUGGAUUCUGAUUUGAAGUGGCGAGCUUACUACUCGCACUGUUUUUACAUUUGUACUUUGCAUGACUGAAGCUGAAUCCAAAUCUGUAUUAGUUAUGGUUAUCAGUGUAUUCCUGAUGAACAGCUACCAAUAUGUUUGUUCUAGAUCUUUCCAGCAGCGCACGUUUGAUGCCGUUGUUCGUGUGAGGAGAGAUCAGCCUGCAUGGCUCCACCCCGACAGACACACACACACACACACACACACACACACACACACUUUAUUGCCUCUGUUUACCUCAAAAGAAAGAGACAGAACUAACGUCAGCAGUAUGUCUGUAUUGUCACAUAUUUUGGUGUGACAGUUGUGUGUUUGUGUGACUGUGAGCUUGGGCUGAUGUGAGGAGGAACUUGUUUCUGAGCUUGAACAGGAUUCUGUGUGCAGUCUGACACGUAGCACAUUCCUCGACCACAGCAGCUCCUCUAUCUAGCAGAUCCGUGCAGGAAUAUGAACGCUUUGCCAUGUGUCGUACACGGACCAUUCUGCAUCAGGGAAUAUAGUGUGUCAUGAAAAAAGACUUAGGGGGACAAGACUGAACAAAAUACCUGGAAUUAACAGUAAAGGAAGAAUUGAAGCCCGCAGCUUGUUAUGUUUGUCUUUCUGCCUGCUCCACCCUCCUGUCCUUGAGAGCCCAUAACACAGCGAUUACUCACUUCCUCUGUGUGUUGAAAUCUCUCUUGCACUGGCUCUGAGAUCCUCAUGAAGCCACAUGAUGAUGAUGAUGAUGAUGAUGAUGCAGAGAUCACAAUGUUACAAAUGAAAUUGGAUUAUUUUCACUCAUGACACCUUCUUUGGUUCAUGUCACAUGUGAUGCAGGUUUGGCUGACUUAAAGCAGAGCUACUCAGCUAUCAAACAUUUUUCCUUUCUUUACUAUAUGAUAAUGUAGGCUUACUGUAGCCUGAAUAUGCACUGUGCAGUUGUGGAAUGUAAAAUGAAAUCAAUACAAACACAUGUCUAAUCCCACUCUCUCCUACAUUUAGUUUUCUCGUCUGCUACAGCACACACUGUAAAUCCCAUCCUGUGUUCUCCUUUGUGAAAAAGAAAAACAGAAACCAAAAAGGAGAACUUAUAUUUGACGUUUUGGUUUCAAGAUGGUGCCCCCUUUAUCUUUGCAUGAAUUGAUCAGAAUACCAUUACAGUGUUUUCCCUAGGUUUGUGGAAGAC